GACGAACGCUGGCGGCGUGCCUAAUACAUGCAAGUUGAGCGCUGAAGGUUGGUACUUGUACCAACUGGAUGAGCAGCGAACGGGUGAGUAACGCGUGGGGAAUCUGCCUUUGAGCGGGGGACAACAUUUGGAAACGAAUGCUAAUACCGCAUAAAAACUUUAAACACAAGUUUUAAGUUUGAAAGAUGCAAUUGCAUCACUCAAAGAUGAUCCCGCGUUGUAUUAGCUAGUUGGUGAGGUAAAGGCUCACCAAGGCGAUGAUACAUAGCCGACCUGAGAGGGUGAGCGGCCACAUUGGGACUGAGACACGGCCCAAACGCCUACGGGAGGCAGCAGUAGGGAAUCUUCGGCAAUGGACGAAAGUCUGACCGAGAAACGCCGCGUGAGUGAAGAAGGUUUUCGGAUCGUAAAACUCGGUUGGUAGAGAAGAACGUUGGUGAGAGUGGAAAGCUCAUCAAGUGACGGUAACUACCCAGAAAGGGACGGCUAACUACGUG
rnacentral:rRNA from 1 species